AGCAGUAGCCGCGGUAAAACGUAGGGCGCAAGCGUUAUCCGGAAUUAUUGGGCGUAAAGAGCUCAUAGGCGGUUUGUCGCGUCUGCCGUGAAAGUCCGGGGCUCAACCCCGGAUCUGCGGUGGGUACGGGCAGACUAGAGUGAUGUAGGGGAGACUGGAAUUCCUGGUGUAGCGGUGAAAUGCGCAGAUAUCAGGAGGAACACCGAUGGCGAAGGCAGGUCUCUGGGCAUUAACUGACGCUGAGGAGCGAAAGCAUGGGGAGCGAACAGGAUUAGAUACCCCUGUAGUCCCUGUCUCUUAUAC
rnacentral:rRNA from 1 species